UAGGCGAGCCAAACAUCAAUGACUAGAGAUGCAAAAGAGAAAUAGUUAAACAUAAAAAUUCGUUAAAGGAAAAGAAAUCCAUUCAUAAUCUUUUUUAUUUCUAUAGCAACAGCACAAUUUUAGGUUAGUAGCUGAUGCUUCUUCUAAAUGCAAUGGCCAUUGACUGCAUGAUUGCAAUAAAUAAUUAUCAUUGAAUGAGACUGAGUACAAACACCAAGUAUGAUUCACUAUUGAGAUAAAUAAUUAAAAAAAUUAUUAUUUAGUACCUGUAUUUUAAUGAAAUUAACUAUUUGGUCUCUAUAUUUUAAAAAUAUAUUAUUUAUCUCUGUAAAAAUUUUUGUUAAACUAUUUAAUCCCUUUGUCAAAUUUUCCGUUACCCAUACUAUUCACAUUACUAAUUAUUUCUUUUAUUUUAAAGAAACUAAUUAGUUGAUCCCUAUAUUUUGAAAAACAUUACUAUUUAG
rnacentral:misc_RNA from 1 species